AACGGAAAUAGGAAAAGACACAACGGAAAUAGGAAAAGACACAACGGAAACAGGAAACGACACAACGGAAAUGUUCCUGGGGAGACAAUAAACCGACGGACCAGUUGCACGAACCAAAACAUGCUAGCCAGUGCGCUGGGACUGCGAGACACUUCAAAGAAGUGGAGGAGAGGCAAUGUAUUGUCCAUAUUGUGGAAUCCAGCUAGUGGGGCAAAUUGGAGUUUUUUGUGGGUCCUGUGGAACUAACAUUCAAGUUUUAGCACCUUUUAUAGAGAAUGGCCCAGUCUCAGUCACAGACAUCAUCAAUAAGUAUUUCUCUGAGGGCCAUACAUAUGAAGUGCUCCUGGACUUUCUUGAAAACAAGCAUAAUAUUUGUAUGAGUCUGAGAACAUUAAAGAGGAGGCUAAAAGAUGCUGGAAUGACUAGAAGGACUGACUUUACUCCCACUGACAUUGUCAUUUCCACUGUUACACAAGAACUGAGAGGCUCAGGUCAGCUUCUGGGUUACAGAUCCAUGUGUCAGACACUGCGACAAAAGUAUAAUCUAACAGUUAAAAGAAAUGAUGUAAUGCACAUACUCUCAAGACUAGAUCCAUAUGGUGUUAAGCGUCGCUGUAA